rnacentral:piRNA from 1 species
UGAUAGCUGGUCCCAGUGUGGUCAUUCAUAGU